rnacentral:rRNA from 1 species
UCCUACGGGAGGCAGCAGCCGGGAAUUUUGCCCAAUGAGCGAAAGCUUGAGGCAGCAACUCCGCGUGAGGGAUGACGGCCUUCGGGUUGUAAACCUCUUUUCUCAGGGAAGAUCCAAGACGGUACCUGAGGAAUAAGCCACGGCUAACUACGUGCCAGCAGCCGCGGUAAUA